rnacentral:rRNA from 1 species
UACGUAGGGUGCGAGCGUUGUCCGGAAUUAUUGGGCGUAAAGAGCUCGUAGGCGGUCUGUCGCGUCUGCUGUGAAAUCCCGAGGCUCAACCUCGGGCUUGCAGUGGGUACGGGCAGGCUAGAGUGCGGUAGGGGAGAAUGGAACUCCUGGUGUAGCGGUGGAAUGCGCAGAUAUCAGGAGGAACACCAGCGGCGAAGGCGGCGCUCUGGGCCGGAACUGACGCUGAGGAGCGAAAGCGUGGGUAGCAAACAGG